GGGAUAGCUCAGUUGGUUUAGAGCAUCCCGGCGUAUGCCGGGAGGGUCGUAGGUUCGAAUCCUUCUGCGCCCA
rnacentral:tRNA from 1 species